CUCCAUGUAUGAAUCCGUUGGGUGAGAGGCUGGUGCUGGGGGUUGACCGCAGGGCCUCGAGCAUGCCAGGCAGGUGCUGGACCCCUGGGCCACACGUCUACCCCUGAUGAACCCAGAUGCUGAACUGGGGUUUCAGCCUCCAGUGCUCUGGCUCCAAGGCAGGACAGCAGAGAGCUGCUCAUCACAAAAACCAGGAAGCAGCAGGGCAAAGGGAGGAGCCAGGAUGGAAGCCACGCCCUUCUGGCCACGCCCCCAGUGACCAAUCCCACAUCUCCUAACAGCAAGUGCUGCAUCGAUGGUGUUUCCACGCAAACGUGUGUGCAUUAAACGGAAUCCUGUCAUGCUACACAACCAUGAACACCUGCCCUGGCUUCUCCGUGCACACUCCUGUCCCUGGCUUUCGGAGAGAUUCUUCGUCCUGGAGUAACGGAGCCAAAGGGCAGGGCUGGGUGAGGCUCCUCCUCCCUCUCCCAGAUUCCCUCUCUGGAAGGGUGCAACGGGGCCCACGCCUGCAGCAGUGUGGAAGAGGAGCCUGGGUCACGAGGGACCCGUUGCCCCUCCAGCCCCCUGCCUCACCCAUGCCUGUCUUCAGGCUUCCUGAGACACCACGCCCUGCGGCAGGGUGAUACACAUUGCUAGGGCAGCUGAGCAUGGCUCCAUACCCCGCAGGGGGCCCCAGGGCUGCUGCACGGGCUUCGGGUUCCCUUUUUGCCGUGGGACCAAGG
rnacentral:lncRNA from 1 species